UACGUAGGGAGCAAGCGUUGUUCGGAUUUACUGGGCGUAAAGGGCGCGUAGGCGGCAAUUCAAGUCAUCUGUGAAAUCUCCGGGCUUAACUCGGAACGGUCAGAUGAUACUGCUUUGCUAGAGUGCAGAAGGGGCAAUCGGAAUUCUCGGUGUAGCGGUGAAAUGCGUAGAUAUCGAGAGGAACACCAGAGGUGAAGACGGGUUGCUGGGCUGACACGUGACGCUGAGGCGCGAAAGCCAGGGGAGCAAACGGG
rnacentral:rRNA from 1 species